rnacentral:rRNA from 1 species
UCCCAAACUGGGAUUAGAUACCCCACUAUGCUUAGCCCUAAACACAAAUAAUUACAUAAACAAAAUUAUUCGCCAGAGCACUACCGGCAAUAGCCUAAAACUCAAAGGACUUGGCGGUGCUUUAUACCCCUCUAGAGGAGCCUGUUCUAUAAUCGAUAAACCCCGAUAAACCUCACCAAUCCUUGCUAAUACAGUCUAUAUACCGCCAUCUUCAGCAAA